AGAGGUAUAGAUCAGUGGUGGAGCACUUGCCUAGCAUUCAUGAGGCCCUAGGUUCAAUCCCUAGCACCACCA
rnacentral:tRNA from 1 species